rnacentral:rRNA from 1 species
GACGAACGCUGGCGGCGUGCCUAAUACAUGCAAGACGAACGCUUCUUUCCUCCCGAGUGCUUGCACUCAAUUGGAAAGAGGAGUGGCGGACGGGUGAGUAACACGUGGGUAACCUACCCAUCAGAGGGGGAUAACACUUGGAAACAGGUGCUAAUACCGCAUAACAGUUUAUGCCGCAUGGCAUAAGAGUGAAAGGCGCUUUCGGGUGUCGUUGAUGGAUGGACCCGCGGUGCAUUAGCUAGUUGGUGAGGUAACGGCUCACCAAGGCCACGAUGCAUAGCCGACCUGAGAGGGUGAUCGGCCACACUGGGACUGAGACACGGCCCAGACUCCUACGGGAGGCAGCAGUAGGGAAUCUUCGGCAAUGGACGAAAGUCUGACCGAGCAACGCCGCGUGAGUGAAGAAGGUUUUCGGAUCGUAAAACUCUGUUGUUAGAGAAGAACAAGGACGUUAGUAACUGAACGUCCCCUGACGGUAUCUAACCAGAAAGCCACGGCUAACUACGUG